rnacentral:lncRNA from 1 species
AUUUGAAUCAACGAUAUACACCGUCAAACAUGAUCCAAAGUAUUUAAACUUUUUAGGUUCUAAUUUUAUAUUUUUUAGCAUUAUUUGUAAGUAAAUUUUUAAAAUAAUAUUAUUUAUUUUGUUCUUUGAGUUUUAGUAAAUGGAUGCAACUCUAAUCAAAAGCAGUGACUCUUAAAGAAUGAAUGUGAAAGAAUGUGAUUUUUAGUGAAAGAGUAAGACAUGAAAAAACACAUAUUUGUAAUGUGUCUCUUCGAGCAUAUGUUUGUUGGAAUCAAUUAUUAUAUUCACUGAACUUUAUUCAUAUAACUAAUCUGUAGUUAUAAUCAAAUAAAAAAUCACAAAUUGAAAAGUCACUCAGAGACGCCCGUUCAUGAAUAGUCACUUCAUGAAGCACCAAUUCGUGCUCUAUAUAAAUCCAUAGAGUUGGUUACAGAAAAAAAAUAAUAAUAAUCGAAGAGUUUAAGUUUCUAUUCAGAAUAAUUUUAUUAUUGUUUUCUUAUUCUAUUUCUUUUAACAACUUAAUCGAGUAAGAGCUCAAAGCCUCGAUUUCGUGUAUGCAAACGCAGUUGAGUUUUGUGCUUCAUUGUAUUCUGAGAGCUUGUUUGUUGACCCAGUGCACACCAGAUUAUUUAAACGGUGAGAAUGAAUUAAGUCUUAAGUAAAGUGGUAUUGGUACACGCCUUGAAAUCUUUUUCAUCUUGCUACUUCAUACUUUUUCACCAUC